rnacentral:rRNA from 1 species
UACGAAGGGUGCAAGCGUUACUCGGAAUUACUGGGCGUAAAGCGUGCGUAGGUGGUUUGUUAAGUCUGAUGUGAAAGCCCUGGGCUCAACCUGGGAAUUGCAUUGGAUACUGGCAAGCUAGAGUGCGGUAGAGGAUGGCGGAAUUCCCGGUGUAGCAGUGAAAUGCGUAGAGAUCGGGAGGAACAUCUGUGGCGAAGGCGGCCAUCUGGACCAGCACUGACACUGAGGCACGAAAGCGUGGGGAGCAAACAGG